rnacentral:lncRNA from 1 species
AAACUUCGGCUGCAGCCCCACUAUCGGAGGUUGGCUGCACUUGCUGCACAUGUAUGAGAGCAUGAGAAUUAAAGCAGGCACUGCAAAGACAGUGCUGACACAUACACACCCAACUCCUCCAACCAGCCCCAGCCACACUUCCUAGCAUGUAGUGUUAUCAUCAUGACAUGGCUAAAGAUUCCACAACGAAACACACAACCGUGGCACAGAUGUGGCCCACCACUACCUGCCUACAUCAAACAAAUCUGCCGUACUCCGAUAGCCAUAUCGGAGUACGACAGCGUCUUGAUGCCCCACGUAAAACACAUAAGAGCCCCGACCCUCGCCCCCAUCUUACCUCCAUUCCCGGCUGGAUGUUGGCCCCAUCUUCCGAGGCCUGCUGCACGUGCAGCACAUGGAUGGGAACAUGACAAUUAGGGCAGGCACGUCAAUGGCGGAGGCGAAACAUACACGCCCCCCUCCCCCAACCAGCCCCAGCCACCCUCCAUAGCAUCAGGAACAAGAAAGAGGGCAACGGGUAACGAUUCCACAACGAAACACACAACCGUGGCACAGAUGUGGCCCACCACUACCUGCCUACAUCAAACAAGUCUGCCGUACUCCGAUAGCCAUAUCGGAGUACGACAGCGUCUUGAUGCCCCACGUAAAACACAUAAGAGCCCCGACCCUCGCCCCCAUCUUACCUCCAUUCCCGGCUGGACGUCGGCCCCAUCUUCCGAGGCCUGCUGCACGUGCAGCACAUGGAUGGGAACAUGACAAUUAGCAUCAGUGUAUCAUCAUGAGCAACGGGUAAAGAUUCCACAACGAAACACACAACCGUGGCACAGAUGUGGCCCACCACUACCUGCCUACAUCAAACAAAUCUGCCGUACUCCGAUAGCCAUAUCGGAGUACGACAGCGUCUUGAUGCCCCACGUAAAACACAUAAGAGCCCCGACCCUCGCCCCCAUCUUACCUCCAUUCCCGGCUGGAUGUUGGCCCCAUCUUCCGAGGCCUGCUGCACGUGCAGCACAUGGAUGGGAACAUGACAAUUAGCAUCAGGAACAAGAAAGAGGGCAACGGGUAACGAAUCCACAACGAAACACACAACCGUGGCACAGAUGUGGCCCACCACUACCUGCCUACAUCAAACAAAUCUGCCGUACUCCGAUAGCCAUAUCGGAGUACGACAGCGUCUUGAUGCCCCACAUAAAACACAUAAGAGCCCCGACCCUCGCCCCCAUCUUACCUCCAUUCCCGGCUGGACGUUGGCCCCAUCUUCCGAGGCCUGCUGCACGUGCAGCACAUGGAUGGGAACAUGACAA